GAUUUCGUGGUGCAGUGGUCAGCACGGUUGACUCGUAUUCGAGAGGUCCGUGGUUCGAGUCCCGGCUAGGGCA
rnacentral:tRNA from 1 species